CGUGUUCAUCGGCCAGUAGGCAUAGGCGGAGUAUAUGAGAACUUGCCACAAACGUGUCCGCCUACCUUCACAAGGGACGGUUGGAUACAAGCACAGAUGCAUCAUGGGAAACUGGCAUCACCGGAAGUCCGUCUCAUGUCCAUCUUAGCCGUUGUACCACGUCAGGAAAAUCGUCACGAAAAGUGCUGGGAAAAGAACACCAUUCGCGUGCCGUUUUACUAAAGUUUUUUGUUUAUAUUGAAAACAGAGGAAAUAACCUCCCUUACAAUUGGUAAUCGUACAGCGGUACCGGAAGUGCUGCCAUUGAAAGGCACCAGCAGCUUUCCAUCGACUGGUACUAUUUUUGGGCAAUUACCAUGAACGAUGCAGAGCCUCGUGCUGGAAUUCAUUGCUGAGUUUCUUACGUAAACUUUGAAAGAUAACAGCCGAUUAUCACACAACCGAGGAGAUCUUUGGGUAAAGAAAAAUAUUUUGGUGAUAGUAAAUUUCGUGGGACCACGAGGGAUGGUUAAGAGGAGAACAAGACGAAGGGCAGAUAAGAAGAGUAAGAGGAAGAUUUCAGGUAUUCCAUCGGGGCAGCCAAUAGCGUGGAACGAAGAUCAAAGACCGUUGCAGCAUCCCACGCAUCAAAAAUAGCCCAGGAAUGACAUCGAGAAACAGAUACCGUAAUAUUUUAGUGUCAUCUAAAUAAAACAGCGCCAUCUGGGCGAUUAUACCAAUGUAUUAAUGUAUGUUUAAAGCUGGAAGAAAACAAAAAUUUCAGGGAAGUGAAAAACCUUAAAUUUUGUUCCAUCAAAAUUCUUCGUACGAUUCGCAGCAAGUUUUUGGAGGAAAUGAAAUUUCUUUGUCUGCCGUUAAAAAAAGAAAAAACUUCAAAAUUCAAGACGUCUUAACGUCUUCUUCUAAAUGAUCCUGGCUCCAUGACCAAGAGUAAAGUUCGUUCCGUUCCUUGAAGACUAUUAGCGCGUCGGUCCUCGUCGACAGUUGAGUGACGCAGCUCUUCGCGGUAGGGUGGAACUCCGGCUGUGUCAACGUCAACCAAAUCAAGAUUCAGUUUUCGAAAGCUCUUGAUACAGGAAAGCCCACUUCCGCCUGAGGAUGAAUCACCGGAUAUUAAUUUGGAUCGUUUGGGAUUUUUGUUUCUGUCAUCAGAAAUAUCAUGCGGAUGGUAGAUAUAUAGUUUUAAGUGCUUGGACUUCUACUUACCAGUGGGCGAUGCCGUCAUAAUUGUCAUUGCGACUUGACAGGCGCUUUGGAAAAUGAUACGUCCCGUGCUGCACUCUCCUGUUUUCUUUUGAAAGUAUUUCCUACCGCAGUAUCAUGCAAGUGUGGCGGAAUCUGCAUAAUCGUCGGAGCAUCGGAUCACUUGAAUGAAUUAUUACUCUUGUUUUCAAUGGUCGCGUACAGUGAGUUGGGUAAUACCUUAUGAAAAAAAAGAAAGGCAAUACAAGAGAAGAUCGAUAAGGACGCACUGAGAAUAUAAAGUGGGGAGAAUGCAUUAGCGUUCUUGUUGACUGAUUAAACGUUAAAUUUUUCAACUGGAAUCACGUGUAUUACUAAUGAAAAAAUAAUGAAAUUUUUCAAUCCUUCAUGAGACAAUUCUCUAACUGCUUGACGUCACUUUUGACUUCGGAUUGGAACUUUUGAAAAAUAUUUUUGACCCUGAAGAAAAAAAACGUAAUUACUUAAGUUAUAAAUUAAAGUGGAUAUGAAGGAGCUAGGAUAAACGCAAUACGAAAGAACACAUGGCUGAUGGUGCAAAAAAGAUGAAAUUCAAGGAAUCGGUUCUUUUUUUUUUCCAAAAAAUGAAAUAAGAUCCCUUCGAUUUUCUUCUCUCAAGUACGGAAUUGUCAAUGAUCCUUCGUAGCGCAAUAAUUAUUUAUGUAUACGUGGAUAUGCAUGUGUGAUACUUUUAAUUCUCUUUCUUUUUUUCAUUAUCGUUUUCUUUAUUUUGUAGAAAACUGCGUGAUAAGUACACCAAUAAUCUUGCAAUGUCAAAGUCCUUGCCGAUUUAAUCAGGACGCAAAGGGAAGGGGGGACAGUCUGGCUGCAGAUAGUGC